rnacentral:sRNA from 1 species
GGAAAACAAGCCUGUAUUUUUCCAGCAAAUAUAACAAAGAAGGUAUCCCUUUCCCAAUCAGAACAGCAAAUUCUAAUUCCAUUUUGGGUUUUCAAUUCUGAUGCAGUAUGUUUGUUUAGCUCUUAGCCCCCCACGACGUAAAGCCUUUAAGAAAUGGACACCUCCUCGGUCACCUUUUAAUCUCGUUCAAGAAACACUUUUUCAUGAUCCAUGGAAGCUUCUCAUCGCUACUAUAUUUCUCAAUCGGACCUCAGGUAAAAUGGCAAUACCUGUGCUUUGGAAGUUUCUGGAGAAGUAUCCUUCAGCUGAGGUAGCAAGAACCGCAGACUGGAGAGAUGUGUCAGAACUUCUUAAACCUCUUGGUCUCUACGAUCUUCGGGCAAAAACCAUUGUCAAGUUCUCAGAUGAAUACCUGACAAAGCAGUGGAAGUAUC